rnacentral:rRNA from 1 species
AACCUCUGUUGCUUUGGCAGGCCGAACCGCUGGUCUACCGGCUCUGCUGGUAAGUGCCUGCCAGAGGACCCCCAAACCCUGAGAGUUAGUGUCGUCUGAGUAUCACAUAUAAUAGUUAAAACUUUCAACAACGGAUCUCUUGGUUCUGGCAUCGAUGAAGAACGCAGCGAAAUGCGAUAAGUAAUGUGAAUUGCAGAAUUCAGUGAAUCAUCGAAUCUUUGAACGCACAUUGCGCCCCUUGGCAUUCCGAGGGGCAUGCCUGUUCGAGCGUCAUUGCAACCCUCAAGCUCUGCUUGGUGUUGGGCGUCACCAGCCCUUGGUGUGCCUUAAAAUCAGUGGCAGUGCCACCUGGCCCUCAGCGUAGUAAUCUCCUCUCGCUAUAGGACCUGGUGGGUGCGUGCCAUCAACCCCUAUUUUUCUCAAAGGUUGACCUCGGAUCAGGUAGGGAUACCCGCUGAACUUAAGCAUAUCAAUAAGCGGAGGAA